rnacentral:rRNA from 1 species
CCCAUACAAUCUUGCUAGCGCAUGCUAAAAAGAUAAAAGCUCCGGCGGUGUAAAAUGAGCGUGCGUCCUAUUAGCUAGUUGGAGAGGUAAUGGCUCACCAAGGCUACGAUGGGUAGGGGUUCUUAGUGGAAGGUCCCCCACACUGGCACUGAGAUACGGGCCAGACUCCUACGGGAGGCAGCAGUAGGGAAUAUUGGUCAAUGGGCGCAAGCCUGAACCAGCCAUGCCGAGUGCAGGAUGAAGGCUCUCUGAGUUGUAAACUGCUUUUGUACAGGAGCAAAAAAGCCCCUGCGGGGGCUCUUGAGAGUACUGUAAGAAUAAGCACCGGCUAAUUCCGUGCCAGCAGCCGCGGUAAUACGGAAGGUGCAAGCGUUAUCCGGUUUUAUUGGGUUUAAAGGGUGCGUAGGCGGCUUAUUAAGUCAGUUGUGAAAUCCUAGUGCUUAACGCUAGAACUGCGAUUGAUACUAUUAGGCUUGAGUUAAGAAGAGGUAGGCAGAAUUUAUGGUGUAGUAGUGAAAUGCUUAGAUAUCAUAAGGAAUACCAAUAGCGUAGGCAGCUUACUGGUCUUUAACUGACGCUGAGGCACGAAAGCGUGGGGAGCAAACAGGAUUAGAUACCCUGGUAGUCCACGCCGUAAACGAUGAUCACUCGAUAUACAUGAAACCUCGUGUGUGUCUAAGCGAAAGCGUUAAGUGAUCCACCUGGGGAGUAUACUCGCAAGGGUGAAACUCAAAGGAAUUGACGGGGGUCCGCACAAGCGGUGGAGUAUGUGGUUUAAUUCGAUAAUACGCGAGAAACCUUACCUGGGCUAGAAUGUAUUUUGACACCUUGAG